rnacentral:rRNA from 1 species
AUACGGAGGGUGCAAGCGUUAAUCGGAAUUACUGGGCGUAAAGCGCGCGUAGGUGGUUUGUUAAGUCAGAUGUGAAAGCCCUGGGCUCAACCUGGGAACUGCAUUUGAUACUGGCAGACUAGAGUAUGGUAGAGGGAAGUGGAAUUCCGGGUGUAGCGGUGAAAUGCGUAGAUAUCCGGAGGAACACCAGUGGCGAAGGCGGCUUCCUGGACCAAUACUGACACUGAGGUGCGAAAGCGUGGGUAGCAAACAGGAUUAGAUACCCUGGUAGUCCACGCCGUAAACGAUGUCAACUAGUCGUUGGGAGGUUUAAUCUUCUUAGUGACGUAGCUAACGCGAUAAGUUGACCGCCUGGGGAGUACGGCCGCAAGGUUAAA